CCUACGGUGGUCAGCAGUGGGGAAUUUUGCGCAAUGCUCGUAAGAGUGACGCAUCGACGCCGCGUGAAUGACGAAGGCCUUCUGGUCGUAAAGUUCUUUCGACAGGGAAGAAAAUGCCUAUAAGUAACUGUGUAUGUAUUGACGUUACCUGUAUAAGCAGCCCCCGCUAACUCCGUGCCAGCAGCCACGUUAAUACGGAGGGGGCGAGCGUUGUUCGGAGUUACUGGGCGUAAAGCGCACGUAGGCGGUAUUGUAAGUCAUUAGUGAAAGACCAGGGCUCAACUUUCGAAAUGCUAGUGAUACUAGCAAACUGGAGUGUGGGAGAGGAUAGUGGAAUUCCAGGUGUAGGAGUGAAAUCCGUAGAUAUCUGGAGGAACACCAGUGGCGAAGGCGACUAUCUGGCAGAUAACUGACGCUGAGGUGCGAAAGCGUGGGUAGCAAACAGGAUUAGAUACCCUAGUAGUC
rnacentral:rRNA from 1 species